GACGAACGCUGGCGGCGUGCUUAACACAUGCAAGUCGAACGGUAAGGCCCCAGCUUGCUGGGGUACACGAGUGGCGAACGGGUGAGUAACACGUGGAUGACCUGCCCCGCACUUCGGGAUAAGCCUGGGAAACUGGGUCUAAUACCGGAUAGGACCGCACCGUGAGGGUGUGGUGGAAAGUUUUUCGGUGUGGGAUGGGCCCGCGGCCUAUCAGCUUGUUGGUGGGGUAAUGGCCUACCAAGGCGGCGACGGGUAGCCGGCCUGAGAGGGUGGACGGCCACAUUGGGACUGAGACACGGCCCAGACUCCUACGGGAGGCAGCAGUGGGGAAUAUUGCACAAUGGGCGGAAGCCUGAUGCAGCGACGCCGCGUGGGGGAUGACGGCCUUCGGGUUGUAAACUCCUUUCACCAUCGACGAAGGUUUUCUGACGGUAGAUGGAGAAGAAGCACCGGCUAACUACGUG
rnacentral:rRNA from 1 species